CUACAAAGUCUACGCACCCUGAAGAAACAUUGUGAAGAUUACUGUGAGACAACUGGGGGAAAGUGGGACGGAUCGAUCAUCAGUAGACAACAUUAAAAGAACCGUCUCAAAGCAGCAAGUAUGAUUUAACAGACAAGUCGUCUCCGGUGGACACAGGAUUUGGAAAAACUGAACUAAUCACAUCAGCGUCACAUUCAGUGGGUCUUAAAGGAACUUUGCAAGCAAUAUCAUAGGGAUUGUAAAGAUGCCGCUGUAGACUAUAUUAAAACGGACGUUCAAAGUGCUGCAGGGUAUAGGGAGGUAAUGAGAAAUAAGCUCUGCAAGUUUUAGAACAGAUGGGCUUUGCUCAGUCGUCUCAGAAUCAAUAGUCCGAUGCUUUGUGGACCCUCUAGAAGACUGAUGAAUUUAAGUGAUGGUUUGUAGCGUCAGGUGCUGAUGAGAAAUGCUCUGUGGAAUAAGUCAGACGCCUGAUAUCACAAUGCUCUGCAGAUUCAGUAACGAAGCAAUGGAGCAAUGUUCUGCGGACUCAGGUGCUGAUUGGAAGAUACUCUGCAGGCUCAGUGAAGGACUCAAUGAGCGAUGCUCUAAAGAUCUUGCAGAUCUCUAGUGGAUAUAUGUGGACCCCUGAAUUUUGGGGGUUCACUCCAAAUCCUCUGUGCCUCUUCUGC